rnacentral:ncRNA from 1 species
GCUAAGUGAUGUGGCUAUGGUGCCAAUGACAUCCGUCAGAGGUGAAAAGGGAAGUCGGUGAAAAGCCGGCACUGCCCCCGCAACUGUAAGCGGUCGGAUCGACUGAUGAAGCCACUGGAUCACUCCGGGAAGGCCGGUUGUCCCAUGUCCGCGAGUCAGGAGACCUGCCAUGGCAAAAAACGACUA